rnacentral:rRNA from 1 species
CACGUAGUUAGCCGGCGCUUCUUUACCCACUACCCUCACCACAACCCAAAGCUGCGGCUUGACCAUGAGCGAAAGAGGUUUACAACCCGAAGGCCUCCAUCCCUCACGCGGCGUCGCUGCAUCAGGCUUUCGCCCAUUGUGCAAUAUUCCCCACUGCUGCCUCCCGUAGGAGUCUGGGCCGUAUCUCAGUCCCAAUGUGACCGGUCACCCUCUCAGGCCGGCUACCCGUCAAAGCCUUGGUAGGCCAUCACCCCACCAACAAGCUGAUAGGCCGCGAGCCCAUCCCCCACCAGAAAAAACCCUUUCCACCAACCCCCAUGCGAAGGCAAGUGAAUAUCCAGUAUUAGCACCCGUUUCCGGGCGUUAUCCCAAAGAAGGGGCAGGUUACUCACGUGUUACUCACCCGUUCGCCACUCAUCCACCCAACAAAAGCUGAGCUUCAGCGUUCGACUUGCAUGUGUUAAGCACGCCGCCAGCGUUCGUCCUGAGCCAGGAUCAAACUCU